GAUUUCAAGCAGCUCUGAAUCAUACUGAACCCUGGGAGAGCUUUGUACACAUCUUUACAGAAGUGGUUUGCUACUAGAAAAUCCCUUUUGAAGAGUACCCUCCUUGCUUUUGAAACCCUAUAGACAUUGGAAAAAGUUUCCAUUAAAAAAAAAAAAAAAAGAAAGAAAAUGUAUUUCAAUUUGAGGGAAAAACAUAAUUUUAUUGGAAUUUUUUUUUUCCAAGUUGUGUUUCUUUUUCUCUUUUUCCUCUUACCAUCACAUAUUCCUUUUACAGUGGGUACAUCUUUCCAUGGGAUUCUGCUCUCAGUGAUAGUGUCUGAAGCUUACAUGGCAUGCCCUUUUGCUAAAUGUAACAGAUGCUCAUUGUGACGUGAACGUAAUUUCAGUACCUGCAUAGGAGAAAUGACGACCGGAGCCACCCGAGCUUAAAGGUUAGUUUAUUUCAAAUGAUUUUGACGUCAAUAGGCGACGAUAUAUAUAUAGCAAAAUAUUUUUCCUCCUUACCACAGGGCCUUUGAAAGGAUAUCUUUGUUGUGUUAGUUGCCAUAGCAGUGACUAGAGUGGUUAUAUAUACAUAUGUGUGUAUAUGUAUGAGGAGGGAUUCCCCAACCCCAGGGCUGAUUGUGUUGGCUUCUGUGUGCUUCUGUGGUUGUAUUUCCUCUUCCCUUGCUUCACGUGCUCCAAGGCUCUGAGGCAGCUUGUGAAGCAUUUCCCAGUUGGGAAAUGAGUAUUUUUGGUCAAGCACCUUGAAGUGUGAGCCCCUAAUCAGAGGGUGUCUCAGAAAGCAGGUAGCAGAGUUCUACGUUGGUGCUGGGGUAGUUUGUGAGCAGGGCAGAUGAUGGAGAUUUGCAAGAUGAUGUGGCUCAGAAGUAAAUUAGGAGGACAUCGGUGAAUGUGUUGUUUAUUAUUUAGACUGCUUUGUGCAUGCCCAGAUUGUGCUGAAAGGCCUUUGACAUAUUUAGCUGAUCCUCACCUUAGAAUAGAUUUUAUCUCUGUGCUCGUGUUUCAAAAAUGUUCCUCCCCUUCAGCAACGUUCUAUCAUACUCUAGAGAUCUUCCUGCUGGUGGUUUCUCUCAUCUCCCUUCCCUGCCUUUUUCCCCUUGCAAUCUGCCCUGAGCUCUGUGCCCUGCUAACAGAGGGGCUUUGAUCUAGAUCUGAAAUGGCCCCUGAAUGCAGAAGCCAAACAUCCAUAAAAGAUUUCUUGAUCUCCUUUUGACCAAGUUUUCUGACCCCUCUUCUAUUCUUGAGUUGUACUGUAUAUGCACUGGCCCCUGCAUGCUAAAUGAGCGUAUUACGUGCUAUGGUUACAUCCGUGAUGUGCUCUUCAGUGUCUGUAGCAGUCUCACC
ensembl:lncRNA